UUGUCAUCCUUCUUUCAGGUCACUGGUGAACCUCUAAUCCAGAGGAAAGAUGAUACGGCCGCUGUUCUCAAGUCGAGGCUUGAAGCUUUUCACAGACAAACUGAACCUGUUAUAUCUUAUUAUUCCAAGAAAGGUGAUGUAGUUAACUUGCACGCAGAGAAAGCCCCGAAAGAGGUGACAGUUGAGGUUCAGAAGGCUCUUUCAUAGUCCAUCCAAUUCUUCUGAGAGAUUUUUUAAACAAUAUUAUUGAAACUAAAAUAGAAAAUUUGUCAAAAAUAACGAGUUUGAUGCUUCAUUUGCUUGUAUCCAUGCCCAUCAGUUUGCUACUUCUGCAUGCGCCAUCGGCAACUCGAGUUUCAACUAAGUUGAAUAAUGAAAUUUGUUUCACAACUUGAGAAUUUUUUUUUUUUUAAAUGUCAAAACUCCGAGUAAUGAUGUUAA